rnacentral:tRNA from 1 species
GCAGACGUAGCUCAGUCGGUAGAGCACGCAGCGUUCCCGGCGCUGAUUCCCGGCGUUGGUUCGAGUCCAACCGUCUGCA